rnacentral:tRNA from 1 species
CGCGGGAUAGAGCAGUUUGGUAGCUCGUCGGGCUCAUAACCCGAAGGUCGGGGGUUCAAAUCCCUCUCCCGCAA